UACGUAGGGCGCGAGCGUUUGUCCGGAAUUAUUGGGCGUAAAGAGCUCGUAGGCGGCUUGUUGCGUCGGUUGUGAAAGCCCGGGGCUUAACCCCGGGUCUGCAGUCGAUACGGGCAGGCUAGAGUUCGGUAGGGGAGAUCGGAAUUCCUGGUGUAGCGGUGAAAUGCGCAGAUAUCAGGAGGAACACCGGUGGCGAAGGCGGAUCUCUGGGCCGAUACUGACGCUGAGGAGCGAAAGCGUGGGGAGCGAACAGG
rnacentral:rRNA from 1 species